GACUGGGAAGAGGCAGCCGAGAGUCUGCUCUCCUCGUUUGGAUUAAUUCUGAUAUAAUAAGUGUUGGUUUAUUUAUCUGUGGAGCAGCAGAACCUCUUCCACAAACAGUUUUUCUGCCUGUUGCCUUGUUUUAAUCAGUUUUCUACUUUCGGCUGAUUCUCCCAGCAGACACUGAAAGGACUCUGAUAGUUCAGUGUCUCAUGUUCAUUGUGAGGAUCUUCUGAGUGAAGCCAACAGAAGGAAAACCUCAUCUGGAUGUGAAGAAGGAGACUGAAUGGACGACAUCCUCAGUGAACCACUUCCUGUUUAGCUUUCACUGACAGAAGGACAGACCAACCGUUUCAACAGUUUAUUAUUCUCUGUUCAGCAGACAGGUGCUCCGCUUUGGAGUGUGACGAUGUCUUCGGUGAUGUGGAGAGUGAAGUUUCCGUUUCCGUGUCGGACUUCAUGUUUGAAAUACUGACCGGCAGCUCAAAUUUAACUGUAGUUCUGUUUUGUUGGAUGUUAAAUUUUCACUCAAAUCCGCCAGGAGCUGGGUUUUUAAAAUAACCGCCGUCUCGUUACAGAAUGAAAGUAGCAGUUCCUCCUUAAGGUCAGAGAUUGUAACAUCUGAGGGCCUCUUCAAAAGAAGAUGUAGUUGAUGAAGGCGUUAUGGAGCAGAAAGACCACGACCAAGCAGCCUUGAGAUCUUAGGCAGCGUCUCCCUCAGGUGGGUGUCAACGGUGUUCACGGUCAGGUCUGUGGUAAUCCCGUCAAAACACAAAACGGAAAAAUGUCAAGAUUAUAAAUCAACAUGUAACCAAAGCACUGUGUCUAUAACGCCAUAGUACAGGAUGUAGUUCAGAAAAUGUCAAAGUAUAGCAUACUUUUCAAGAAUAACAUAGUCUGGCCUGUAGCUUAUAGUACAGCAUGUCGGCAAAAAACUCAGAUUAUUAUGUGGUUCAAAAAGCGCAAAAUGAUGGGAUGUUGCCUAAAAUUGUCAUGUAUGAUAUGUGGUUCAAAAAUGUCAUAGUGCAGUAUGUUGUCAAAAUAGUAUGUCAUUCAAGAAAACAUCAGAAUAUAAUAUGUGGUCUAAAAAAUGCCAUAGAAUAAUAGUUCAUUGCACAAGUAAAAGUGUAGUAAUUUUUAAAACUGUUAAAAUUCUUACAUGUUACUAAAAAAUACCAAAAGAAAAACGUCAUAGUAAUCUGUCAAUUAAAAAAGCCUAUAGUUUAGCAUGUCGCUCUAAAAACAUCAUAGUUUAGCCUUUGGUUCACAAAAUGUUGUCAUGUCCCGGCUGCCUGAAGUAGGUGAGGAGCAACACAAAGACAGUCCAAACGCUGGUUUUCAGAGGGUUAGACAAGUAUUUAUUUGAAAGAGUAAGUUUACAACAAUACAACAUGUGAUGGGGUUAAAACCAAAUCAGUGUUAGUAAAAUAAAAAUAAACAGAACUAAAAGUGAACUUCAUGUUGACAUUGAUGGGCAUUCCAACCAGGAACAAAGUAAAAGAUCAUCAGUA